AUUGAACGCUGGCGGCAGGCCUUACACAGGCAAGUCGAGCGGUUGUAGGGCGCUUGCUCCUGGAUGCAGCGGCGGACGGGUGAGUAAGGCCUAGGAAUCGGCCUGGUAGUGGGGGAUAACGUCCGGAAGCGGGCGCUGAUACCGCAUACGUCCUGAGGGAGAAAGUGGGGGAUCUUCGGACCUCACGCUAUCAGAUGAGCCUAGGUCGGAUUAGCUAGUUGGUGGGGUAAAGGCCUACCAAGGCGACGAUCCGUAACUGGUCUGAGAGGAUGAUCAGUCACACUGGAACUGAGACACGGUCCAGACUCCUACGGGAGGCAUCAGUGGGGAAUAUUGGACAAUGGGCGAAAGCCUGAUCCAGCCACGCCGCGUGUGUGACGACGGUCUUCGGAUUGUAAAGCACCUUAACCUGGGAGGAACGGCAGUAAGAUAAUACCUUGCUGUAUAGACGUUACGCACAGAGUAAACACCGGCUACUUUCGUG
rnacentral:rRNA from 1 species